AAUGUGGUUGAUGAUGCUCAACUUUUUUCCCCAUCUUAUCGACAAUGGUGAAUACCGACUGAAACUAAGCCAGUUUGAUCUGAAACCACAUU
rnacentral:snoRNA from 1 species